AACGAACGCUGGCGGCAUGCUUAACACAUGCAAGUUGAACGCAGCAUAGGGCUUCGGCUCUAUGGCUGAGUAGCAGACGGGUGAGUAACGCGUGGGAAUCUGCCUUUUUGUGGGGGAUAACUGAGGGAAACUUCAGCUAAUACCGCAUAAGCUCUACGGAGGAAAAGCGAAAGCUGCAAAAAGAGGAGCCCGCGUCAGAUUAGGUAGUUGGUGGGGUAAAGGCCUACCAAGCCAAUGAUCUGUAGCUGGUCUGAGAGGAUGAUCAGCCACACUGGGACUGAGACACGGCCCAGACUCCUACGGGAGGCAGCAGUGGGGAAUAUUGGACAAUGGGGGAAACCCUGAUCCAGCAAUGCCGCGUGAAUGAAGAAGGCCUUAGGGUUGUAAAGUUCUUUCACCUGUGAAGAUAAUGACGGUAGCAGGAGAAGAAGCCCCGGCUAACUCCGUGCCAGCCGCCGCUGUAACAC
rnacentral:rRNA from 1 species